UAUGUUUAAGCAACUGCCCUGUUGAUGUAACCGACUGAACCCCGUUUGGUCGACAUAACGGCCGAACCCGGCGAUAUCAAUAAAUGAUUUGCGUUGACAUAAGCCGAAUGAAAGAGGAAAGAGAAUUAGGGACUAUUGUUCGAUGAAUGUGAUGAAUAUCAUAUUGGUUCCACGAGGAUAAGUUUAUAAACCAUUUCGUUAAAGUUAUAAUUUCUCUUUAUUAUACAAUAUUAUUCUGAGUGAGUACCGCUAGAGCUAAAUUAGAAAAUGGAAUUGUACUUAUUUUUGUCGAUAUUGAAUUACAGCUCGCGGUGGUCGCUGAUAAUCGUACAUUCGUAGGGUACUUGAAUCGAUAGUUGACACCUACAAGUAAAUAUGAAAAACCCUUGAAAUUGUUUGAACUAAUGUAUAGUUUAUUACAGUCAGAUCGAGCCUAUUGAUGAGUUAUUGUUGGGAAAUAAGGAAUUAAUUUGGAGUGAGGAUAGACCAAUGUAAGCGCAAUCAAUGUAAGUUCCAAUGACUUGUACUAAAAUGAUAAAUAUAGCUUUUAGCGUUUCAUCGUUUGUGAGAUCUACACAGCGUGCUCAAAAGAUAUUCGUAUACUCCUUCCCAACAAACUAAAAGAUUGGCUACGUACGAUUCAUUAUGCCGGGCAGUACGAGAAGCACUCGCAGUCGUAAGGUAAAAACCCACUGCCAAGCGUGCAAGGAACCCGAUACCGAUCGGAUGGUCAGUUGUGGUCAUUGUGGAUCAUGGUGGCAUUACGCGUGUGUGGGUGUUAAUGAGAGCAUCGCAGAACCCGAGAGAACGUUUACAUGCCCGAUAUGCCAAAAACCAUCAGCACAACUUCCAGUUGGUGGAUUUUCUGCUAGUAGGGCCAGCAGUAAAGCCAGCUCAACGUCUACAACCGCCAGCUCGCGAGCGAAGAAAGCUCGUUUACAGCUCGAGCGUCUCGAGGCCCAAAAAGCUCUAGCGAUGAAGCGAAUAGAGCUGGAACGUCGAGAGCAGGAUCGGAGGCUGGAGCAACAAAAGAAGGAGGCUGAGACGUUAUUGCAGCUCAAGCUGGAUCAAGAACGACAACGGAAGAAUGCAGAACUGGAAAAGUUGCAGCUGGAAAUGGAGCAGACCGUUAUGAACGAAUCAUUUCGGCUGCGGGAAAUUAUCGAAACCGAGGACAACGACGAUGACGGCGGCAGCAGAGUAUCGGAACAGAGUUCUAUCAGCAAGGUUGAGAGGUGGAGAAUUAUGAACUCGACGAUGAAGACUAUGGCGGAGAAAAACCCAACAGACCCAGGUAACGAACAAGUAACAGCUACGACAGGGACACUAGCCAGGCAGGACAGUUCAGGACAACCAACUAGCGAAACAGAAGACGUUCUGGGAAAGGCUUUAGCAGGUAUUUCGUUAGGGCCAGUAGAUUUAGAGCCAACCUUAGGAGGACUUAUCGGUCGAACGGAAAAUGUCACUGAGCAGGACGUUGUUAGGGAACAGCAUGUCAUUCCUCCAUCCGUUAACGUUCCCUCUCCCCAGUGUCAGUCUUCUGUCAGUAAUAUCGUUUCGGCGAUUGAAAAUCCGCCAAAUUCAGUUUCCGCGCAGUCGAAUAAUGUCAAUCAAAUCAGUGCGAGCCAUGGAAGAGGCACAGUGACGGUACAAGAUCUACUCGGAGAAUCGUAUCCGCUACCGUUAAACAACCAAGUGUUUGUUCCUCGACAGUGUACAUUACCUGGUGUACAACAACCAUCGUCCGAUGAUCGUCGAGUUCAUUUGCAGCGUCCACCAAUUCACGCCAUCCAGACUCACGAUGGUGCUGGUCCUUCGCCAGUGCAACACUCAGGGUAUGUGGAAAAUGUGGACUUCGAACCAACGGCACGGCAACUAGCGGCAAGGCAUGUGAUGGCGAAGGAGCUGCCAACCUUUUCUGGAAAUCCGGAGGAUUGGCCGCUGUUUAUCAGCUCAUACAACAACUCUACGCGAGCAUGUGGUUUCUCAGACGCGGAAAACUUGGCGAGAUUGCAGCGAUGCUUGAAAGGGCAUGCUCUGGAAUCGGUGCGCAGCCGGCUCCUUCUACCUUCUAGCGUUCCACACGUCCUCGCUACGCUUGAAACGUUGUAUGGAAGGCCGGAAUUGCUUAUACAUUCACUGCUACAGAAGGUCAGAAACGUACCUGCACCGAAACAAGACCGACUCGAUACGCUGAUUGGCUUUGGCAUGGCCGUUCAAAACCUUAGUGACCACUUGGAAGCUGGUCGUCAGGAAGCACAUCUCAACAACCCGAUGUUAUUGUUUGAGCUGGUUGAAAAGCUUCCUGCACACAUGAAGUUGGAUUGGUCGCUUUACAAGCAGCGGUGCGCAGCAGUAAAUCUGCGAACGUUUUCGCAGUAUAUGCAGACGUUGGUGCGAGCAGCUACCGACGUGACACUGAACUAUGAUCCAACACAAUAUCAACAACGUACGUUGAAAGAUAAGAAAAGUUUCUGCGGCACUCACACGGCGAAGGAGGAUUCAGAAGCGGUUAUGGAAACGGAAUCAGCCCCAAAUGCAUCGUACCCAACCGGACCGACAUGCUACAUCUGCAAGAGUCCGGAGCACAGAGUGAAAGACUGCGAUGAGUUCGACCAGAAAACAGUGGAUGAUCGGUGGAGAAUCGUACAACAAAUCGGUUUAUGCCGUCUUUGCCUCGGGUCACAUGGUAGGAGACCUUGCAAGGUACGCAAGCAGUGCGGAAUAAAUGGAUGUCCGAGUCGGCAUCAUCCAAUGCUGCAUUCUACCCAGAAAUUCAGCAAUUCUAAGGCUGAAUCGAAUGAACCCAGACCAGGACCCUCAACAGAGAAGUCGACCGAGACCAAUGCUGCUACCAACCAUCAUUUCACCGGGAAGUCAACUCUCUUCCGUAUCAUUCCCGUUACGCUGUAUGGAAACAACCGAUCUGUAACAGAGUUUGCAUUCCUAGAUGAUGGAUCGGAGAAAACGCUAGUGGAUGAAGACGUAGUAAAAAAGCUAGGAGUAGUAGGAGAGCCGCAAGCAUUGUGUCUGCAGUGGACUUCAAAUGUAAAAAGGACGGAGCCCAACUCGCAACGCCUUACUCUAGAGAUCGCUGGAAACAACGGCGCCGGCAGACACACAUUGAAGGAUGUGCGCACUGUAAGUAAGCUGGAGCUACCACGACAGUCGUUGUGCUACGCAGAUUUAUCAGCAUCGUAUCCAUAUCUGGAAGGAUUGCCGAUAGAGGACUACAUGAAUGUCUUACCACGUAUACUGAUCGGGAAUGACAACGCACAUGUGACGUCUACCCUCAAAACUCGUGAUGGCAGACCAGGAGAACCAAUCGCUGCCAAAUCGCGUCUAGGAUGGACGGUGUACGGUUCUAGCCAGGAUCGAACUGCGGAAACUAAGCACAGCUUUCACAUCUGCGAAUGCCAGGACGAUGACCAAUCAGUGCAUGAACUAGUUGAGCAGUUUUUUUCAGUCGAAAGCUUGGGUAUAAUGCAUGUGCCACGAGUAGAAUCUGAGGAAGAACAACGGGCAAAUCGGAUUCUGAAGGAAACUACUAAACGCAUCGGACAGCGGUUUCAAACUGGACUUCUGUGGAAAUACGAUUAUUUCGAAUUCCCAGAUAGUUACCCGAUGGCAGUUCGACGUCUACAGUGUUUGGAACGAAAGAUGCAGAGUGAUCCGGUUAUUGGAGACAGCGUGAAAAGGCAGAUCUCCGAAUACCAACAGAAAGGGUACAUUCACAGGGCAACCGUGGAAGAACUGAACGAGGCGGAUAUACGUCGUACGUGGUACUUGCCUUUAGGCGUUGUUAUAAACCCGAAAAAACCAUCGAAGAUCCGCAUCUUUUGUGACGCCGCGGCGAAAGUUGAUGGUACGUCUUUGAAUACAAUGUUACUAAAAGGACCAGAUUUUUUGAAAACACUGCUGGAAGUUCUGUUUGGGUUUCGAGAAAGGCGCGUUGCUCUGUGUGCGGACCUCAAGGAGAUGUUCCACCAAAUUCAAAUAAGGCCGGAAGAUCGACAUGCACAACGAUUACUUUGGCGAGAUGAUCCGGCUAAACAGCCCGAGGUUUAUUUGAUGGACGUCGCUACCUUUGGCGCAACGUGCUCUCCGUGUUCUGCGCACUACGUUAAAAACCUGAAUGCGGAGGAGCAUUCAAACGAGUAUCCGGCUGCCGCUGAUGCUAUCAUUCGGAAGCAUUAUGUAGACGACUACCUCGAUAGUUCCGACAGUGUCGAAGAAGCAGUACAACUAGCAUUGCAGGUGAAACAUGUUCAUUCCCUUGGAGGUUUCCACCUGCGGAACUGGCUUUCCAAUUCGGAAGAAGUGCUCGCACGGAUCGGGGAAAAGGAAUCACAAUCAGGCAAACUACUUCAGCUAGAAAAGGGCAAAUCUACAGAGCGUGUUCUCGGAAUGUACUGGAAACCAGAGCAGGACGUGUUCACAUUCUCGACUUCAUUGGCUACUAGCGUCGAGCAUCCUACCAAGCGACAAGCUCUUCGUGUGGUGAUGAGUUUGUUUGAUCCAGCUGGGCUGUUAUGCUUCUUCCUGAUCCAUGGCAAAAUCUUAAUACAGGACUUGUGGCGAGCCAAAACUGAAUGGGACCAGCUGAUUCCCCAGGAAUUGUGCGAACGAUGGAUACGGUGGACAACUAUGUUCCAAAACUUAGAUCAGAUAAGUGUUUCGCGGUGCUAUUUCUCGCAGUAUUCGGUGAGAGACAUUGUGUCGCUUCAGUUGCACAUCUAUGUCGAUGCGAGCGAAGAAGCCUAUGCUUGUGUCGCUUACUGGCGCGCGGUGCUUCCUAACGGAAUUCAAGUCUCAUUGAUCGGAGGAAAAUCUAAAGUGGCUCCGCUGAAGGCGCUCUCCAUACCCAGGCUAGAGUUGAUGGCAGCGGUGAUCGGCGUACGCUUAAUGAAAACGAUAGUAAGUGGACACUCUCUGGCGAUAGAGAAAACGAUAUUCUGGUGUGACUCCAAGACGGUGCUGGCAUGGAUAAAUUCGGACCAUAGAAAGUAUCGACAGUUCGUGGCAUGCCGUGUGGGAGAAAUCCUGUCCAAGUCCCGCCCGGAACAAUGGAGAUGGAUAUCUACUAAGAAAAACGUUGCUGAUGAGGCUACCAAGUGGGGCAAAGGGCCCUGCUUUUCUCCAAAUAGCCGUUGGUUUCGAGGGGAAGAUGAUCUGUAUCUACCGGAAGAUCAGUGGGACAACGAUCAAGGACUAGUAAUCGACAAAACCAACGAAGAGCUAAGGAUUUGUAUGAUUCAUCGAGAAGCCAACACGGUGCCUUUCGUAAACUGGGAUCGAUUUUCAAAGUGGACUCGACUGUACCGAGCAGUUGCAUACGUUCAUCGCUAUGUGAACAACUUACGAUGUAGUGCAACCAGGAAAGAACGAACCAACGGGCUGCUUACGCAAGAGGAGUUGCACAAAGCAGAAGCAACCAUUUUUCGUUGGGUGCAAUGGGAAGAAUAUCCAGAUGAGGUUGUAGCUCUGACCAACGGACAUAAUAAGCAGCCUGGACUACAGUUUGCAUUGGAGAAAAACAGCAAGAUUCGGACUCUUUCGCCGUUUUUGGACGAGUUAGGUGUUAUGCGGUCCGAUAGCAGAAUCGCAGCGGCAAAGUUUGCUACAUUAGAUACGAGAUAUCCUCUCAUCUUGCCAAAAGAUCAUCGAGUGACCGAUUUAGUUCUCCAAUGGUAUCACCAAAUGUACCUUCACGCAAAUGGAGAAACUAUUGUGAACGAAGUCAGACAACGCUUCCAUAUUCCGCAGCUACGAACAAAAGUGCGAAGAGUGGGGAAAGAAUGUAAAAUGUGCCGAAUCAAGAAGCCAGUUCCAACAAUACCAAGAAUGGCUUCUCUUCCAGCAGCGAGGCUGCGGCCACAUGUUCGCUCGUUUUCAUUCGUUGGUAUCGAUUAUUUUGGACCAAUUGGAGUAAAGGUCAACAGAAGCGUAGUGAAACGCUGGGUAGCUUUAUUUACAUGUAUGACCACCAGGGCCAUUCAUCUUGAGGUCGUCCACUCAUUGUCAACGCAGUCCUGCAAGUUGGCGAUCAGGCGUUUCAUUGGACGUAGAGGAACACCGGUCGAGAUUCGGAGCGAUAGGGGCACAAACUUCGUGGGAACGAGUAACGAUCUGAAGAAGGAAAUGGAACAAACGAAUAGCGAGCUCGCUUCAACAUUUACCAACGCUAAUACGAAGUGGAUAUUUAAUCCACCUGGAGCGCCCCACAUGGGGGGCGCAUGGGAACGGCUAGUGAGGUCCGUUAAAGCUGCUCUCGCUGCAAUGGAUACUCCUAAAACACCUAACGAAGAGACAUUCGCUACUAUACUUGUGGAGGCUGAAAGUAUAGUAAAUUCAAGACCCCUGACAUAUAUCCCACUGCAGUCGGCUGAACAGGAAGCUUUAACACCCAACCACUUCCUCCUGUUAAGUUCGAGUGGAGUGGUACAGGCACCCAAUACUAUAGCAGAUCCGAAACAAGCAUGCAGGACCGAUUGGGAACAUUGCCGAAUUAUGGUGGAUCAGUUCUGGCGCCGCUGGGUGCGAGAAUAUCUCCCGACCAUCGCACGACGCACCAAGUGGUUCGAAGACGUGAAAGCUAUUGAAGUUGGGGAUUUGGUUAUGAUGGUGGAGGAGAAAACUCGCAAUGGGUGGAUUCGAGGUCGGGUAGCCGAGAUCAACGUAGGGAAGGAUGGCCGAGUUCGUGACGCCGUAGUACAAACCGCCAAUGGAUUGGUUCAUCGUCCGGUAUCUAGAAUAGCGCUAUUGGAUGUUGAAGGUAGUAAAGCCGGACCAGAUGGACCUCUGGCCAGCCUUACGGGUCGGGGAACUGUUGAUGUAACCGACUGAACCCCGUUUGGUCGACAUAACGGCCGAACCCGGCGAUAUCAAUAAAUGAUUUGCGUUGACAUAAGCCGAAUGAAAGAGGAAAGAGAAUUAGGGACUAUUGUUCGAUGAAUGUGAUGAAUAUCAUAUUGGUUCCACGAGGAUAAGUUUAUAAACCAUUUCGUUAAAGUUAUAAUUUCUCUUUAUUAUACAAUAUUAUUCUGAGUGAGUACCGCUAGAGCUAAAUUAGAAAAUGGAAUUGUACUUAUUUUUGUCGAUAUUGAAUUACAGCUCGCGGUGGUCGCUGAUAAUCGUACAUUCGUAGGGUACUUGAAUCGAUAGUUGACACCUACAAUCAGAUCGAGCCUAUUGAUGAGUUAUUGUUGGGAAAUAAGGAAUUAAUUUGGAGUGAGGAUAGACCAAUGUAAGCGCAAUCAAUGUAAGUUCCAAUGACUUGUACUAAAAUGAUAAAUAUAGCUUUUAGCGUUUCAUCGUUUGUGAGAUCUACACAGCGUGCUCAAAAGAUAUUCGUAUACUCCUUCCCAACAUGCCCCAUUAUUUGCCCCUAUAGAUAAAUGGUGACUAAAACAGUCAACUUCUAUGUGCAGGCAACUAUGAAUUUAUUUUCACAAAACGCAUUUCAUCCCAUCCUUCCUUAGCAGAUCGUCUAACAAUCACCAUCUUUCCCCCAGAAUGUCGAGAAUAAUUUACAUGUACAAGCCAACCAAACCAAGCAAGACAGCAGCAGCACUUCUGUAGCGAGCGACCCAUUUCCGCGCUGUUACCGAAACCGUCGACCGACUAAGGACAACGGAAGCCCAUGCACACACACUAGGCUAUUCCUUCCGGGGUCUCUUAGAAUUUCGAAGCAAGAAGUUUCGUCCAUUCAUAGGCAGGCACCCAUUGCUGGAAACGAGUUCACUGAUGCCGAACGCAAAUAGAUUGUGUAGUUGGAACACAUGUUUGUUUUCGCAGUGGUCUCUGCUGGAUGGUUAGUGGUGCAAGCAACAGCUCAGUGCAGGAGUAGUGUGAAUGUGAUCUACUGGAGCGGAAUAAUUACCGAAGGUCGUUCAGGAAGUGGGUUAUUACGUAAAACAUCAUCGCGUGGUGGAGGAAGUUUGGCCGAUGAGAUAACCUCUAGCGUUAAGGAGGAUUGAAAAGACUGGUUAUAGUUCCCUAGCUAAGUAGCUAAGUAAUGGAGAGUGUUGAAGAAUUUGUAUCAUUUUUCUCAAUCCUAUGUAAAGCUAAGUUUCCCAGGAGAAAAAGAUUGCAAUUCCAGUAGGAAUUCGAAGAAUAAUUUAAGGAAGGGUUCCAAGAGGCAUUCUGGCAGACAUUGUAGGAUGAAUUCCAGGAAGAAAACCAAGAGGAAAUCCAGGAAGAAUUCCAGUAGGACUUCCAGGAGAAAUUCAGGAGCUAUUGCAGGAGGAGUUAAAGAAAAUUACAUGGAAUUAAAGUUCACAUAAUCACGGUAUGUUGUUUGCGGAGAGUGAGAUCGUACCUCGAUAUCCAACGAGCAGAAAAUAAGAUCAUGUUUCGAAAGAACUGGCAUUGCAACUUGAUCGAAUACAACUACUUCAUCAGGCUUAUUAGUUAUCAAUAAAUCCAAAAGUGAGCAUCCAUUAUCAUGGAAGUGAGUUGGUUCACUACCAAUCACUUCCAAACCAUAUGUUUCUAGCGUAGAUUGAAAUCUUGCACACUUGUUGUUUCGCAAUAACAAGUCAGUGUUAAAAUCACCCAAUACCACAAUAUGCUCAUACAUCGAAAUGAUGCCCGACAGCUCCGGUUUAAAAAAAACAAAGAACAAACACUUUCAGGUGGGUUGUAAACAGUGAGCACAAGAACAGUGAUAGCACCUAUAUUGAUUUCUAUUCCGAGGCACUCAGUUUUCAACGUGAAAUCAUCACUGAUAGAAGUACAGUACACUGUUUUGCUGCGAACAUGUUCCUUGAUAUAAACAGCAAUACCGCCUCCUCUUUUAUACAAACGAUCAUUUCGUAUUACUUUAUAGCCGGGUAUCCUUAUCGUACCAUCAGGUAUCGCCUCGUUAAACCAAGUCUCCGUGAAACAAGCAACUGUUAUUUUGGACAUUAUCAACAGUUCUUUCACUUCUUCAAAUUUGCUCAACUGUUGUGCACACAAGCUUUGGACAUUCCCAUGACAAAUAUUUAGCUUCCCAUUUUUUAAAACAGUAUUUAACACAAUCUUCGGAAUAGUGUGUGAAGGAGUGGCAUCCGAAAAACUAGACAUUAUCACAGCAAUGGAAAACAAUGAACAAGGGCUGCAUAUAACGGUGACUUAACAAGCAAAUACAUUCAAAUACAAUCUUCUUAGCACUUAUACAAACACAAUAUCGAAAAAACAUAAUGAAUAGACAAAAACACAAUCUUGACUACAACUGGGAUAACUGCUCGAUUGAAGUAACUGGAAUUGAUGGGCCAUCAGCAGUUCUUUUGACAUGUACGAUACCGUUCUUUGAUGAAACUGAUACUAAUUGAUUUUCUUGACGCAUCUUCAAGGCAGCUCGCUUGAUCAAUCUCGCAUUCACAGUUAAGUUCUCAUUGAUGUACAGGGGAUAGACAAAAUGAUCGGGACAGGCAAAAUUUUCACUUUUCAAAAAAUGUUCAAUUAGCUGUAACCUUUUUUAUAUGUGCAUCAAAUAUUCUCAAAUUUUCACUGUAAGUUGAUCGACUAGUUGAGUAUCAGUGGACAAAAUUUGGAAAAAAUCGCGCUAUUUUGCAGGAAGUUAUAAGCAGUUUAGAAAAAGGUAGAAUUAUCCGAUAGCCAACUUCGAGCUGUUAUAUCUCCGGAUUCAAUGACCCGAAUGCAAUGAAAUUUUGACCAUUUAUGACUUAUAUAAUGAGCUCUGAAAAACGUUUGACUCAACUUGAAAUUAUUAACAAGAGAAAAAGUUAGAGCGAUUUAAUGUAUUUUAUGAUUUUUUAGUAAAUUGGUCUAUUUUUUAUAUGAAUCCCAUUACUUUUUCAAUGAAUUUCCGGCUAUGAUAUUUUUUUCUUUCAAAACAUAUUUAUAUUCAAGACAAUUAGAUGAAAUUUAAAUCAACUACAAUU